rnacentral:snoRNA from 16 species
AAUCCCGUUAUCUUUCCAACAGCUGACUCCUACGUCAUUGUUGGCUUAAUAUGGGUGAAAUUGACUGGAUGAUUCUGAAAUAGGGUUAUGUUGCUGAAAAUUGACAAACCGCUUCACUCGUUCUACAUUU